UUUAUUGUCUCAAUCUUAUAUUCACGAACACACCUCUCAUCGUACCGCCAUUCAUUUUCUCGUUCCAUGCUUGUUGUCGUCGCCAUCAUCGGCCAUCUACUGCCGCCAUCUCCGGCAUUAAACUGCACUAUAAUGGACUAUAAAUCCUAAUGUCUCCUCUUCCCGUCAUCCUUCUCGUUGUCGCCAUGUUCAUCGCCAUCUUCAGACGCCUACGAAUGAGAUGGACCGAGGAAACAAAAAUCAUGGGCGCUAACGCCUUGAGAAACCAAUCGUCGACUAGCGAGAUCGAGGAAACUGGAGACGCCGAUGCCUCUCUAAUCGAUCACUUCUGAUUGUCUGAAGUAUUGGGUAAAUUAAUCAUUCUCGAUCUCUCAUUAUAAUUUCUAUACUUUUCUGUAACUCUUCUAAACCUAGUUGUUAAUUCCAGCUGAUUUCUUUACUUUGCAUACUAAUAUGGGAUUUCUCUACUAUAAACUUCCUGGUAAUGUGAUUUCUGAAGAAUAAAGUGAUAGGAUCACCAAAAAUCUGAAGAAUUUUGGUGUUUCUGAGUUCCAGUUUGGUUUUGGGUAAGUUAUGAGUUCUAAAUUUUCAUUCUUUACUUCAUAAUUUAUGAUCUUGUCGAUUUCUUAGCUUCAUAGUUUCAAUAAUUCUGUUUUCUUUUCUCAUUUUCUGUACUUCUCAUUCUAUUUUCUGAGUUCUGAGUUCUGAAUUUUGAUAUUGAGUUUGUUUUUUUAUCUAAUUUCUGAAUAACAGGUAACUUGUAGACCAAAGUCAAAGAAGUUGAUAUUUUUUGAUUUCUGAAUAGUGAAUAACAAGCUACUGGUCAUCGAAUUCAGGUUGUAUCUCUUUUCUGUUUUUUUAUCUGAUUUUUGGUCCCUUUUUUGUCUUUUUUUUUUUCUCAUUCCAAUUUCUAAUUUUUGUUUAGUUUAUUUGUUUGUGUGUUUUAGGAGUUAGACUCUUCGAUUUUCUUAUAUGUUGUUUUAGGUUUUAUUCUGAGGUUUUAGAGGCAUCAAAAGGUAUAGUUUUCUUUCAUUGUCUUAUAUGCUUUUUUUUCUUAUGCUAUCAUUGAGCUUGAAUCAUUUGUGUUGGUGAUUUCAUUAAAGUUUCUUCUCAGGACCUAUAUCUGAUAUGGUAAUUACUAAUUACAAUUACUCUAAUUUAAUCAUUCUUCCUUAAACUAAUGAUUCAAAACCAACUUAUCCAUCUUUCUUGAACAGACGAAUGAACUAUCAAGACCAUCUUUUUCAUAGGUUGGUCUAUGUUUAUAGUUUAUAAAUUAAUCCACUAUUUUUUUGGGUUUUUGUAAGUGUAUGCUAACGGAGCAUCAUUUGAUAGGGUUAGAAAACAAAUUACAUCAUUUUUGUGCAUUUGUUUGCUGUGAUAAAGAUCAAACUAGGUUGAAAGAUUGUAUAUGAAAACUGGAGAAUUCACAACAAUUGAGGAGGCAUAUAAAUUUUUGUUCCAUGAAUAAAAUACCCUGUGCAAGCCGAUUCAAAGGUACUAGAUAUUAUAUCACAUCAAGACCAUCAACUUCAAAACUCAAAGAAAAGGAAACCAACUUACAUAUCAUCUGGUACCCUUCUCAAGAAGACAAUGAGCAAUACCAAAAAGACGGAUGCCUAGUUAUGUCUAGGUUUUGUUUUAUGAUGUGUUUGCUUUUUUUUACCAUAAUUUAAAUACUUGCAAUUAGUACAAUUUUCUUUUUUUGGUAUUUUAGUUAGUAAUUUAAUGUACGAAUUUCGAUUUCAAUUAUUAUUAAUAUCAAAAUAUGAAUUUUGAUAUGGUUUCA